rnacentral:rRNA from 1 species
UACGGAGGGUGCAAGCGUUAAUCGGAAUUACUGGGCGUAAAGCGUGCGCAGGCGGUUUGUUAAGUCUGGUGUGAAAUCCCCGGGCUCAACCUGGGAAUUGCGUUGGAGACUGCAAGGCUGGAGUCUGGCAGAGGGGGGUAGAAUUCCACGUGUAGCAGUGAAAUGCGUAGAGAUGUGGAGGAAUACCGAUGGCGAAGGCCGCCCCCUGGGAUGAUACUGACGCUCAUGCACGAAAGCGUGGGGAGCAAACAGG